GCGCCCGUAGUUUAACGGAUAAAACCCUGGUCUUCGGAACCAGUUAUGGGGGUUCGAUUCCCUCCGGGCGUACCA
rnacentral:tRNA from 1 species